AUCUUUGCGCUUGGUGCAAUGACACAGCUAGUAAGGUUAUACCGAGGCAUGUCAAAUGCUGGUUGAAAACUGAUAAGAACAGAUACUAAUGGCAUAUCUAGAGAUUGAGAUAUGAACAUUUGGUCCUUUCGAGCAUAUUUAAAUUU